rnacentral:rRNA from 1 species
CCUACGGGAGGCAGCAGUGGGGAAUAUUGGACAAUGGGGGCAACCCUGAUCCAGCCAUGCCGCGUGUGUGAAGAAGGCCCUCGGGUUGUGAAGCACUUUCAGUGAGGAAGAACGCCUGGUGGUUAAUACCCAUCAGGAAAGACAUCACUCACAGAAGAAGCACCGGCUAACUCCGUGCCAGCAGCCGCGGUAAUACGGAGGGUGCGAGCGUUAAUCGGAAUUACUGGGCGUAAAGCGCGCGUAGGUGGCUUGAUAAGCCGGUUGUGAAAGCCCCGGGCUCAACCUGGGAACGGCAUCCGGAACUGUCAAGCUAGAGUGCAGGAGAGGAAGGUAGAAUUCCCGGUGUAGCGGUGAAAUGCGUAGAGAUCGGGAGGAAUACCAGUGGCGAAGGCGGCCUUCUGGACUGACACUGACACUGAGGUGCGAAAGCGUGGGUAGCAAACAGGAUUAGAUACCCCAGUAGUC